GGGGCUGACAUAGCUUCGACGGAAGGAUUUUAACAGGUUAUUUUGCAAGUCGGAUGCCCACGUUACGGGCAACAAUUUAAAUGCAAACGCAUCUACAUUUGUUAAAGAAAAGGCAUCACAACUCGAGGCAGUAUUUGCUGCAGCGUGGAGUAAUACACCUUCUUUAGCGCUAGCUCGCGCCUAAUCGCCUGAGCCAUCGAUUAUUCCCAAGGAAACAUAGGGGAUCCGGUGUUAUAAGUAUGUUUCUUACCCUUUAGUCAGGCAGCUGUGGCUAGCAGGGAACACUUACAGCGCGUUUUUUCAGUCAUUUUGGUCCUCGUUUGAGGCUGGAUAGAACGUACUACUCAAUGAGGACUAUACUUGUAGACGAAUAACAGGUUACCUUUCGGACCCGGGGGCAGUACCCGGCAGCUCCACCA
rnacentral:tmRNA from 1 species